UACGAAGGGGGCUAGCGUUGCUCGGAAUGACUGGGCGUAAAGGGCGCGUAGGCGGAUGGCACAGUCAGAUGUGAAAUUCCCCGGGCUUAACCGUGGGGGCUGCAUUUGAUACGUGUGAUCUAGAGUGAGGAAGAGGGUCGUGGAAUUCCCAGUGUAGAGGUGAAAUUCGUAGAUAUUGGGAAGAACACCGGUGGCGAAGGCGGCGACCUGGUCCUUGACUGACGCUGAGGCGCGAAAGCGUGGGGAGCAAACAGG
rnacentral:rRNA from 1 species